rnacentral:rRNA from 1 species
AUGGUGCGCGGUCACCACGACCAGCAGCUUGCCACGACGGUCGCAGCACCGAUUCCUGUCAUUGACCUCUGCUGUCUUUUCAAGAAAGACGGUGCGGCCGUCGGUGAGGCAUCCAAGCUUCGGUCUGCGCUCGAGUCGUGGGGCCUCUUCCUUCAUGUUGCUUCAUAUGCACGUUCCUGCAUGCAGCUAAGUAAGCAUGGCAUAGAAGCCACCAUGAUGGACGACAUGAUGACCGCGUCGAGGGAGUUUUUCUGGCGGCCACUCGAAGACAAGCAUAGGUACACCAACCUGAUCGACGGCGAGCAGUUCCAGUUUGAGGGGUACGGGAACGACCGGGUGAGAUCGCCAGACCAGAUCCUAGACUAG